GGGGAAGCCGCGGUGGUGCCCCUGCCCUGCAGACACCCGUGGUGGCUUACAACUACACUUAACACCUUACGACUUAAAGUACCACAGUUGCAUCUGGAAGACGCCUUGUGCCCCCCCACUGCAAGCAGCAGGAGGCCAAGAGCCCUCGGGAGACGGCGAGGCCGAGCUCCGCACACAGGAGCCCACCAGGAGCUGCAGUGACCGGUAAAGGUGAGCAAUGGGC